UACGAAGGGGGCUAGCGUUGUUCGGAUUUACUGGGCGUAAAGGGCGCGUAGGCGGCCACCGCAAGUCGACUGUGAAAUCUCCGGGCUUAACCCGGAAAGGUCAGCCGAUACUGCGGGGCUAGAGUGCAGAAGGGGCAACUGGAAUUCUCGGUGUAGCGGUGAAAUGCGUAGAUAUUGGGAGGAACACCAGUGGCGAAGGCGGCUCACUGGACCGGAACUGACGCUGAGGCGCGAAAGCGUGGGGAGCAAACGGG
rnacentral:rRNA from 1 species